GUCUACAGCUAUACCAACCUGAGCACAUCUAAUCUCGUCUGAUCUCAGAAGCUAAGCAGGGUCGCACCUGGUUAAUAACUGGAUGGGAGAAA
rnacentral:rRNA from 1 species